GACGAACGCUGGCGGCGUGCUUAACACUUGCAAGUCGAACGGAAAGGCCCUGCUUUUGUGGGGUGCUCGAGUGGCGAACGGGUGAGUAACACGUGAGUAACCUGCCCUUGACUUUGGGAUAACUUCAGGAAACUGGGGCUAAUACCGGAUAGGAGCUCCUGCUGCAUGGUGGGGGUUGGAAAGUUUCGGCGGUUGGGGAUGGACUCGCGGCUUAUCAGCUUGUUGGUGGGGUAGUGGCUUACCAAGGCUUUGACGGGUAGCCGGCCUGAGAGGGUGACCGGCCACAUUGGGACUGAGAUACGGCCCAGACUCCUACGGGAGGCAGCAGUGGGGAAUAUUGCACAAUGGGCGGAAGCCUGAUGCAGCAACGCCGCGUGCGGGAUGACGGCCUUCGGGUUGUAAACCGCUUUCGCCUGUGACGAAGCGUGAGUGAUGGUAAUGGGUAAAGAAGCACCGGCUAACUACGUG
rnacentral:rRNA from 1 species